AAUGUAAAAGAAGGAAGUGGCACAAGACGAUUGCAUUUUUUCCACAGAUGAAGAUUAAAGAACACGGCGUGAAUGAAAUACCAUUUCCUUUUUUUUCCCCCAGCUGGACUGUAAUGUGUGAAAGUUCAGGAAGUGCUUGAAGAGAAGGCUGGCCAACAAUCAAAGGUACAAAGUUCCUGUUUGGUUAUUGUGCACUCAGGAGAAGAAGGGAGCGGCUGAGGAGCGAGGACACAGGCGACACCAGAUAGGGCCCAUUUUCAAAGCCACCACUCGGAGCUGCACAGUUAAUGGCCUUGAUAUCUGCCUGCGCCAUUAUAUACUGACCAAAAGAUGAACUGGAGACUCAGAAUGAAUCUGACAGACGGAUACAAGGAAGGAAACUGGAGACAUUACGGAUGGAUCCACGGGGCGGAGCCUCCGGCCAUAUUUGUGGCACGUGAUAUUGAUGAAGUGAUCGAUCUUUACUUGAAGAAAGAACUUCCAGCUGUAAAGUUUUUGUGCGUGAGGACGAGGAGUAAGGGUUACCCUCCAACCUUCUGAUUGCCACCUGUGGAAUCACUCAGCGAUCACAUGAUGCUGAGGGGUCACCGGGGUUAUCAGUAAAUAAUGAAAUUUGUUCCAUUGGUCGUGACCUCCAUCUCUAAGGAGUCACGAAUCCCUGAGGAGCUUCAUUAAAGGAUUCAUCCGUUGGACUCCAUCAGAUGCUGCAGACAGUGUUCUUCUUCAGUCUGGCUGUUGGAUCCGUUUAAAGAAGUUGGAGUUGUGUCAUAAACAAACAGCCUGUGAUUCAAACACGUUAAUGUAAAUGAACUUAGAUUUAAAUGUUUCGUUUGUGAUCUUUGAGUUGGGAAUCAGAAACAGAAAAGUUACAAAGAAGACUAGAAGGAAUCUGAAUGAAUGAAUGAACACUGCUUCAUGUUUCGUUAGAGUCUUGUUUUUCACAAAGCUUUUCUUGAGUUUGACUUCGCCCUCUCAGGAAUUAUGUCAGUUAAAAAAAAAUUCUUUGGGGGCAUUUGGGGUCAUUUCACUUUUGACAAGAAAGCCAUAACUGGUAAAUAACUUUUUCCCAUCAUCUCGUCUGGAAAUACAAAAGACA